UGGCCACAUCACGUUGAAACACCGGUUCCGAUACGAUCAGCGAAGUUAAGCAACAUCGAGGCUUGUCAGUACCUAGAUGAGUGACCGCUUGAGAAUACAAGGUGCUGCAAG